rnacentral:rRNA from 1 species
UACGGGGGGAGCAAGCGUUGUUCGGAUUUACUGGGCGUAAAGGGCGCGUAGGCGGCCACCGCAAGUCAAUUGUGAAAUCUCCGGGCUUAACUCGGAAAGGUCAACUGAUACUGCGGGGCUAGAGUGCGGAAGGGGCAACUGGAAUUCUCGGUGUAGCGGUGAAAUGCGUAGAUAUCUGGAGGAACACCGGUGGCGAAGGCGGCAUCCUGGACCGGUAUUGACACUGAGGCGCGAAAGCCAGGGGAGCAAACGGG